rnacentral:rRNA from 1 species
CAGGCCUAACACAUGCAAGUCGAACGGUGGUAGCAAUACCAUAGUGGCGCACGGGUGCGUAACACGUAACUAACCUACCCACAACUGGGGGAUAGCCCGCCGAAAGGCGGAUUAAUACCGCAUAACCCACUUCUCCGGCAUCGGAGGUUUGGCAAAGAUUUAUUGGUUGUGGAUGGGGUUGCGGGUCAUUAGCUAGUUGGUUGGGUAAUGGCUGACCAAGGCGACGAUGACUAGGGGAGCUGAGAGGCUGGUCCCCCACACGGGCACUGAGAUACGGGCCCGACUCCUACGGGAGGCAGCAGUAGGGAAUAUUGGGCAAUGGGCGAGAGCCUGACCCAGCCAUGCCGCGUGCAGGAAGAAGGCUUUCUGAGUCGUAAACUGCUUUUGACAGGGAAGAAUAAGCUGGACGUGUCCAGUGAAGACGGUACCUGCAGAAUAAGCACCGGCUAACUCUGUGCCAGCAGCCGCGGUAAU